UCUAAUAGAGAAGAAGAAGAAGAGAGCUCAAGACAAGCGUCUAUGGUUAAAACGUAUAUAAUUUUUUAUUUUUUAUUUUUAGAAAAUGACCAAUAGUUUCCCUAGAUAAGACCCUUAUUCCUCGUCUGGUAUCGUUUAAAGCCCUUUGAAGCUGCACUGAAACUGUAAUUUUGACCUUCAGUCGUUUGGGACCAACUGAAGUCCACUAUAAGGAGAAUAAUCCUGGAAUGUUUUCAUCAAAAACCUUAAUUUCUUUUCGACUGAAGAAAGAAGGACAUUGACAUGGGGAGGUGGGAGAAACAAAGGAGACAGGAGUUGGAAAUGGAGCGGCUCUUCCUCCCUGUGGGGCUGCUGUUCGUUGGGUUGGUUUAGGAAGCAGCUGCAGGGGAAUGAUAGCAUGGUUAGCCGUCGCAGCCGAGUGCAAUAAUCUCAGUCCUGGCUGAACCAGAGAAAGGGAGCUGUGCUCUAACAGUGGGGCUUCUGCCAUACCUCAAGUAUCAUCAUGAACAGCUGUUCUCAGGCCUGCAGGUGAGACAGGGCAAGUGGAGGAGCCAUGGGACACUAAGAGGCGUCUUCAGCUGACACACUGACUGGCCUGCUAGCUGAUGAGGGAAUAGAUAUGGGUUAAAAACAAAGAUUUAUAUCAGAUGUUUGUUUUGUUAUGACCUUGGCUGUGUUGUUAAAUGAUGAUGGCUGAAUUA